rnacentral:lncRNA from 1 species
GUUGGAAAUAAUGAAGGCUGAGACUCAUUUCUAAACUCUUCCAUAACCAUCACCAGAAGAGCAGCCACUGUGUUGUGUGAUGUAGGCUAAUGCCUCCCAGAUAGAGGUAAAGUCACAAGGACUAUUAGAAUUCCAGUGGAUUGUGGAACUGGUUUUGGAUUAUCCUUAUAUUUUCAUUCUGAUUACUGAGGCAGUUCUGAAAACUCCUACCAUUGAAAUAGUGGUGUGUCUUUUCCUUGUUUAAGGAUUUUACAUCAUUUUUAUGCACUUGAAUUCCAAAAUCAGAAUCUCUCUUUUACCUAUCAACCUUUAUUGGCUAUUGGCUUUUGGCAAUGACCUUUCUGUUCAAAUGUAGUCCUGUCUCUUUGUUUCCUUAGGGAGUAGAACCUGUCCUUUUUCUCAUCUUUCAUUUUUUUGACGUGUCCUUUCUAAGAGAAGGCUCUCUGCCGCCUGUUCUGGGUGAUAAGUGAUAUUUUCAUCUAAUCGUUAUGUGGUUGGGAUGAUCAUGGUGAAAUACUAGGAAGACAUACUCUGUUGAUGGACUUUUUCUCUCCAAAUAAUCCCAAAUAGAUUAUUUUCUAGUGAAUGGUUUAUAUCUUUCUCGUCACAAAAAUGUUCCUUUGAUUUCUAGCACAAGGUACAGCAGGAUGCAAAUGAUUCUCAGAUAAAAUGAUGUUGACAGUAUUUCCUUAACAAUUUAUGUAAAACUAUGCAUAAUUUUCAUUCUAACUUUUGACAUUUUUCUCCAUAAAUAAAAGUAAUGCCUGAUGUUUAGUUAAAGUAGA